CCUACGGGAGGCAGCAGUGGGGAAUAUUGCACAAUGGGGGAAACCCUGAUGCAGCGACGCCGCGUGAGUGAAGAAGUAUUUCGGUAUGUAAAGCUCUAUCAGCAGGGAAGAAGAAAGACGGUACCUGACUAAGAAGCCCCGGCUAACUACGUGCCAGCAGCCGCGGUAAUACGUAGGGGGCAAGCGUUAUCCGGAUUUACUGGGUGUAAAGGGAGCGUAGACGGGUGUGCAAGUCUGAAGUGAAAGCCCAGGGCUCAACCCUGGGACUGCUAUGGAAACUGUGGAGCUAGAGUGCUGGUGAGGUAGGUGGAAUUCGUAGUGUAGCGGUGAAAUGCGUAGAUAUUAGGAGGAACACCAGUGGCGAAGGCGGCUUGCUGGACAGUAACUGACGUUGAGGCUCGAAAGCGUGGGGAGCAAACAGGAUUAGAUACCCGGGUAGUC
rnacentral:rRNA from 1 species